AUUGAACGCUAGCGGCAUGCCUUACACAUGCAAGUCGAACGGUAACAGGUCUUCGGAUGCUGACGAGUGGCGAACGGGUGAGUAAUACAUCGGAACGUGCCCGAGAGUGGGGGAUAACGAGGCGAAAGCUUUGCUAAUACCGCAUACGAUCUCAGGAUGAAAGCAGGGGACCGCAAGGCCUUGCGCUCACGGAGCGGCCGAUGGCAGAUUAGGUAGUUGGGGGGAUAAAAGCUUACCAAGCCGACGAUCUGUAGCUGGUCUGAGAGGACGACCAGCCACACUGGGACUGAGACACGGCCCAGACUCCUACGGGAGGCAGCAGUGGGGAAUUUUGGACAAUGGGCGCAAGCCUGAUCCAGCCAUGCCGCGUGCAGGAUGAAGGCCUUCGGGUUGUAAACUGCUUUUGUACGGAACGAAAAGACUCUGGUUAAUACCUGGGGUCCAUGACGGUACCGUAAGAAUAAGCACCGGCUAACUACGUGCCAGCAGCCGCCGUAACAC
rnacentral:rRNA from 1 species